AACUUUGUAAUUGAGUUUAGUAGUGUGUUUUGACGAUAAUAUUUUUUGAAGUGAGUUACAUCUUCAAUAUUUUAAAUAGAUAUUAAAAUGGUGAUAAUCAAUUUGAAUUUUUUUGUGUGGAAACUGAGCUAUGGGUUUGAAUUUGUUUAGUGGAAACUGAGAGAGGUGGAGUUAUCAACUUGCUUUCAUUACACAACAUUCCUGAUAAUCUUAGCGAAAUUGGUGUGGAGUACGUUGAGGUAGGGAUUUAGCAUUUUGAUAUCUGGCUUAUUUGGUAAUACAACUACAAGACGAGGAAAGUCAGGCUUACAUCAGUGAAACUUUAUGUUCAAAGCAAUGUGCAACUCAC